GAAUAUUGGGCAAUGGGGGAAACCCUGACCCAGCGACGCCGCGUGGGUGAUGAAGGCCUUCGGGUCGUAAAGCCUUGUCAAGAGGAACGAAUGUCUCUGAGGCAAACAGCCUCCGGGAGUGACGGUACCUCUGAAGGAAGCACCGGCCAACUCCGUGCCAGCAGCCGCGGUAAGACGGAGGGUGCAAGCGUUGCUCGGAAUCAUUGGGCGUAAAGGGUGCGUAGGCGGCUUCUUAAGUCUGGCGUGAAAGCCCAGGGCUCAGCCUUGGAAGUGCGCUAGAAACUGGGGAGCUUGAGUGCCGGAGGGGAGAGUGGAAUUCCUGGUGUAGCGGUGAAAUGCGUAGAUAUCAGGAGGAAUACCGGUGGCGAAAGCGACUCUCUGGACGGUAACUGACGCUGAGGCACGAAAGCGUGGGUAGCAAACAGG
rnacentral:rRNA from 1 species